GACCGCGUAGCUCAGUUGGCAGAGCAUUGGGCUAGUAUUCCAAAGGUCGUGAGUUCGAAUCCCACCGUGGCCA